AUCGUUUUGUAAUUCAUAAGCAUGAUGAUUGGGUGUUCACAUGCAUAUGUGAAUGUGCCACCCUCUGAACCUUGUUACAAUGUCAACACAUCACCUGUCUGACC
ensembl:snoRNA